UACGUAGGGUGCGAGCGUUAAUCGGAAUUACUGGGCGUAAAGCGUGCGCAGGCGGUUUUGUAAGCCAGAUGUGAAAUCCCCGGGCUUAACCUGGGAAUGGCAUUUGGGACUGCAAGGCUGGAGUGCGGCAGAGGAGACUGGAAUUCCUGGUGUAGCAGUGAAAUGCGUAGAUAUCAGGAGGAAUACCGAUGGCGAAGGCAGGUCUCUGGGCUGACACUGACGCUCAUGCACGAAAGCGUGGGGAGCAAACAGGAUUAGAA
rnacentral:rRNA from 1 species